AUGCCUCUCACAAAGGAUCUCCUUCAUCCCUCUCCAGAAUAGGGGAAGAGGAAACACAAGAAGCAGUGCCUGAUGCAGAGCCCCAAUUCCUACUUCAUGGGUGUAAAUGCCCAGGAUGGUACAAAAUCAUCACAGUCUUUAGCCAUGCACUAACAGAAAUUUUGUGUGUUGGCUGCUCCACUGUCCUCUGCCAGCCUACAGAAAGAAAAGCAAGGCUUACAGAAGGAUGUUCCUUCAGGAGGAAGCAGCAUUAA
rnacentral:lncRNA from 1 species